rnacentral:rRNA from 1 species
UACGUAGGUGGCAAGCGUUGUCCGGAUUUAUUGGGUUUAAAGGGUGCGUAGGCGGCCCCAUAAGUCAGUGCUGAAAUACUCUAGCUCAACUAGAGGGGUGGCAUUGAUACUGCAGGGCUUGAGUGGAGUCGAGGUAGGCGGAAUUGACGGUGUAGCGGUGAAAUGCUUAGAUAUCGUCAAGAACACCGAUAGUGUAGACAGCUUACUAGGCUUCAACUGACGCUGAGGCACGAAAGUGUGGGGAUCAAACAGG